UACGGAGGGUGCAAGCGUUGUUCGGAAUUAUUGGGCGUAAAGGGCGCGUAGGUGGUUGUGAUAGUCAGAUGUGAAAUCCUUUGGCUUAACUGAAGAACUGCAUCUGAAACUUCACAACUCGAGUACAGGAGAGGGAAACGGAAUUCCCGGUGUAGAGGUGAAAUUCGUAGAUAUCGGGAGGAACACCAGUGGCGAAGGCGGUUUCCUGGCCUGAUACUGACACUGAGGCGCGAAAGCGUGGGGAGCAAACAGGAUUAGAUACCCGUGUAGUCCCU
rnacentral:rRNA from 1 species